rnacentral:rRNA from 1 species
AUUGAACGCUGGCGGCAGGCUUAACACAUGCAAGUCGAGCGGAGCGAGGGUGCUUGCACCUUAGCUUAGCGGCGGACGGGUGAGUAAUGCUUAGGAAUCUGCCUAUUAGUGGGGGACAACAUUCCGAAAGGAAUGCUAAUACCGCAUACGCCCUACGGGGGAAAGCAGGGGAUCUUCGGACCUUGCGCUAAUAGAUGAGCCUAAGUCGGAUUAGCUAGUUGGUGGGGUAAAGGCCUACCAAGGCGACGAUCUGUAGCGGGUCUGAGAGGAUGAUCCGCCACACUGGGACUGAGACACGGCCCAGACUCCUACGGGAGGCAGCAGUGGGGAAUAUUGGACAAUGGGCGGAAGCCUGAUCCAGCCAUGCCGCGUGUGUGAAGAAGGCCUUUUGGUUGUAAAGCACUUUAAGCGAGGAAGAGGCUACUUAGAUUAAUACUCUGGGAUAGUGGACGUUACUCGCAGAAUAAGCACCGGCUAACUCUGUGCCAGCAGCCGCCGUAAA